GGUGCAAACGGUUAACACGUUCAGCUGCCAACUGAAAGGCUGGUGGUUCGAAUCCACC
rnacentral:tRNA from 1 species